rnacentral:rRNA from 1 species
AUGGUGCCCGUCACCUGUUCGACGGAGUGCUCGACCCAGGUUGACACCAUCGACAGCGUCGACGAGGUCCAUGACGCCGCUACCGCCGUCCACCUCGAGCCCACGGUCGAUCCGAUCCACCAAGCAGUUGAGCAGCUCGCUCCGGUGCAGGCAACGGCCUCCAUCGGCACCAACACUCCCUCUUGUGACGAGGUCGUUUCUCCCGUGACGACCACCACCGACGUCGACCCCAAGGCCGGCGUGCAGGAGCUUGAUGCCCUCUCCGUCGACACCUCCACCCAACUGACGAGCAAGGCGGACCACGACGUCGCCCUCAUCAUCCGCAGUGACCCUGCUCCGCCGGUGCUGACCAGAUGUUCGACAGACGGUCUACUCCAGGAUGGCGAAUGGGUGAAGCCUGUUCAUCUGGUGGACAGGAGCAAAACCUCGUGCCUACCACCGAUACAGCAGGGAAUCGGGCAGCAACCAUGGCCGUCACCUGUGCAAGUGAGAACCAGACACAACGGACACCUAUUCAGGCCUAGGCCAUGGCCGUCUUUCAAGUUUCAUUCAGAUGCAAGUUAUCAGGAGGAGCCAUGUUCAGUUUCUUGUUGUGAGGUAAUUGUCGCAGAAGAUGAUGUUGUUUUGUGCCUUGGCAUUGUUGGCGGAUGCGUCACUAGUGCAUCUGAUUAUGUUUGGUGGCCACCGGACCAUCAGGCAAAGAUGAGGAGCACAUUGCAGCAAUUUCUACAUGACACUCAGUUGCAUAUUUCCAUGGGAUUAUCAGUGGAGCAGCAGUCCUGGCCUAUUGAGCAGCUUACUUUCUUGGUUUCCAAUGAGCCGAGGGAUUGUCUUGAUGGGACUAGUGCACAUGCUGGAACAAAGAGAAUGGAAUUCAACAUUCAGUCUGCUUUUCCUAACUCUCUUGAACAAUUCCAAUGGGAAGUUGCAUGGCCAUUUGGUUCUGGGAGGAAAACAUCUCUUGCUAGGCCCUGCCUUAUGCAUAAUAUGCAGUUUCCCUUACCACCCGACAAGCCUCGAGCAGUGCAGGGAAUACUUCAUAUUAUGCCUAUCUUAGUGCACUGGAAAUUUUGA